CAGACGCAGUUGCUGACGGGGUUGGCAGUGGUGAGCAGGAGGAGGAAUGAAGAAAGGACGGGGUUUGCAACGUGCAUCCACUAGACCACAAUUGUUUAUCUCUGUGUGGACAGGACAGAGACUGGACAGUUCAAAACAGACACUGGAGCGGCGAGUGUCACAAAUACUCUGUGGAAAGCAGCAGGUAAAAUUAUGUUCUCACCAAACCUGAACAUGGUCCAAGUCAGAGUUAUGCCGGGACAAAAACACCUGCUGGAGAGAUGAGGGAUUUACAUGUACCCGCCCGAGUUUUCCCAGUCUUCUCAUCCUACAGUGUAAAGGUCAUUGCCAUUCUCCUCCUCGUCAGUUCCAGUGAAAAUUUGUGCUGGCUUCCCUGUAAGUGAGAGAUGUCAUCUAGAACUGGCAUUGCUGACAACGACUUUGGAGUUGGCUUUUGGUAAGGCAGACCAUUUCAAAGCUUACGUGAAUCUUGAUAUAAUCGACAUAUCACAAGUCAAUACAAUGACUACCCAGAAACCUCACAGAGGGACAGGAGUUAUUUGCAAUCGUUGAUGACUCGUCGAAAAGCUUAAUAUUCAACAUCACACAGUCAUCAGUUAUUGCAUAUGAUGCCUGUCCCUCUGACAUUUCUGGGUAGUCACUGAAUCCGCCCCUCGGGUUUUUAACACGUUCAUCUCCUCCAAGUAGAUGUCCAAAAGCUCCAUAAUAUUCUGAUAUUCAACACCACACGAAAUCAACUUGGAGGACACGAAGGUGUUAAAAACCACGAGGGUGAGAUUGCAGUAAGUUGUUAUGCGAAAAUCGAGUUUGAUCAACAUUGUUUUCAAAGGGAGAUGAUUCACAUAUAUUCUGAGCCUGUGGAUUAUGAGCAUGUCACUGAAUUACCAAAUAUUACCUGAUCCUUUUUGUUGAAUCACGUGUUUAGUAUUGACUUGAAAAAGAAAGAAGUAGAAUACCGUUUGGGGACAUUGCAUAAAGUGAAUGACUGAGCAUGUGCCAACAUGACUGUUUUGAUAGCGCAAACAAAGUGAAGCUUAGCUUGUGAAUGUCAUUUGUGAUGACGCCCUUAGCUGUUCGAUACAGGUUAGGUGGACUGCAUGGUUAGUCACCCUGUAGAUCGAUAUAUAUUAUUAAUCUAUGGCACUUUUUCCCUAAAAAUCCCCUGCCUGUGCGAAUGGAUGUGGUAAGAGAUGGUAAAGCAAGUUUUUAUGCUUCUAUAAGAACACCAAGACUUUUGACAGCCAUAAAGGAAAUUUAUUUCCAUGGUGUUGCUCAAAGCUAAAGGGAUCUAAAUUAGCAUGUAAAAAGGUGCCAACAAAAAAAGCCAUUCUUAUUAAACCAUAAAAUCAUU